UCUUGUUUCCCUUGUUUAGAUCUCAUCAGAGAGAUUAAGAAAGCAAAUAAGGAUGAAUUUGGAUAUGGACGCCUGUGUUGACAAGAUCAAACAGGAAUAUCCGUUUAUUUUUAUGUAUAUUUGUUAGCGUUUUUCUUCCUUUAUCGGAUCAUAUGAGAGAGAUUAAGAAAGCAGAUAAGGAUGUGUUUGGAUAUGGAGGCUGUGCUAUUCAUCUACCCAUAAGAUUCAAACGAGACUUCAUUUUCUCAUCCACCAAUGUCCUUACCUCCCGUACCUUUCUCUCAAACUCUCUUUUCAACAAGUCUCUGUUGCCACAGAAGGAAGAAGUUGAUUGAUCUGACAUUGAGGUUGGAGAAAUCAUCAAAAGCUUCUCUCUGAGACCAAUAGUCCAUCGCAAAAGAGUGAAAAGCUUUACCUUCUAACUGUUGGUUGUUAUAGAAGUGGUGAGCAUUCAAGAAGCCUGCAGCUUGUAUAGAAAUGUUUGGAGAUUAAACUUGAUUGGAGGUAGGCUUUGUACCUUGAGAAGGCAGUAAAAGAACAAAUUACAAAAGAUGGUGUCAUUGGAAUUGGCAUUUCAGUUACUGCUGUGGUACUUAUAGCUGGUGGAAUUAUAACUGCAUUAACUAGCAGAAAAUCAUGACGACGGAUUGUUAUUUUAAGAGUAAUUUCCCUGAUUUGCGGUUCCCAAUCUUCGAAGAUGAUGCAUUUUAACCCUGCUAACUAUGAACUGAUGUCCUUUCUAUUACUUUUAGUUGAAGUUAAGACUU